GAUGAAGAACGUAGUGAAAUGCGAUAAGUAAUGCGAAUUGCAGAAUUCAGUGAAUCAUCGAAUCUUUGAACGCACAUUGCGCCCGCCAGUACUCUGGCGGGCAUGCCUGUCUGAGCGUCAUUUCAACCCUCGCGCCCGGCUUCUGUCGGGGGCGGUGUUGGGGAUCGGCCUCCCGUCUUCCGGGCGGCCGGCCCCUAAAUGGAGUGGCGACCGCGCCGUAGCCUCCUCUGCGUAGUAGUGAAACACUCGCGGGCGGAGAGCGGUGCGGCCCGCCGUAAAACCCCCAACUCUUCUAAGGUUGACCUCAGAUCAGGUAGGAAUACCCGCUGAACUUAAGCAUAUCAAUAAGCGGAGGA
rnacentral:misc_RNA from 1 species